GCGGCUUGUCGCGUCGGAUGUGAAAGCCCGGGGCUUAACCCUGGGUCUGCAUUCGAUACGGGCAGGCUGGAGUUCGGUAGGGGAGAUCGGAAUUCCUGGUGUAGCGGUGAAAUGCGCAGAUAUCAGGAGGAACACCGGUGGCGAAGGCGGAUCUCUGGGCCGAUACUGACGCUGAGGAGCGAAAGCAUGGGGAGCGAACAGGAUUAGAUACCCUGGUAGUCCAUGCCGUAAACGUUGGGCACUAGGUGUGGGCGACAUUCCACGUUGUCCGUGCCGCAGCUAACGCAUUAAGUGCCCCGCCUGGGGAGUACGGCCGCAAGGCUAAAACUCAAAGGAAUUGACGGGGGCCCGCACAAGCGGCGGAGCAUGUGGCUUAAUUCGACGCAACGCGAAGAACCUUACCAAGGCUUGACAUACACCAGAUCGCCGCAGAGACGCGGUUUCCCUUGUGGCUGGUGUACAGGUGGUGCAUGGCUGUCGUCAGCUCGUGUCGUGAGAUGUCGGGUUAAGUCCCGCAACGAGCGCAACCCUUGUCUCGUGUUGCCAGCAGGCCCUUGUGGUGCUGGGGACUCACGGGAGACUGCCGGGGUCAACUCGGAGGAAGGUGGGGACGACGUCAAGUCAUCAUGCCCCUUAUGUCUUGGGCUGCACACGUGCUACAAUGGCCGGUACAAUGAGUGGCGAUGCCGUGAGGUGGAGCGAAUCUCAAAAAGCCGGUCUCAGUUCGGAUUGGGGUCCGCAACUCGACCCCAUGAAGUCGGAGUCUGCUAGUAAUCGCAGAUCAGCAUUGCUGCGGUGGGUACGUUCCC
rnacentral:rRNA from 1 species